UAAAACUGCGAAUGGCUCAUUAAAACAGAAAUAACUUAUACGAAAUAAUUACAAAUGGAUAACCUUUAUAACUGUAGGCUAAUACAUGCUUAAAGGCCUGACUUCGCGGAAAGGCUGCAUUUAUUAGAUUUAUACCAACGCCCUUACCGGCGCUGUGAUGACUCAUAAUAACUAAACGGAUCGCGGCCUCGAGCUGUGAUAAUUCGUUCAGGUUUCUGACCCAAUCAGCUUGAUGGUAGUGUAUUGGACCACCAUGGCAAUAAUGGGUAACGGGGGAUUAGGGUUCGAUUCCGGAGAGGGAGCUUGAGAAAUGGCUACCAGAUCGACAGAUUGCAGCAGGCGCUAGAAUUACCCAAUCCUGAUUCAGGGAGGUAGUGACCAGAUAUAUCA
rnacentral:rRNA from 1 species